rnacentral:rRNA from 1 species
GACGGAGGGUGCAAGCGUUGUUCGGAAUUACUGGGCGUAAAGGGCGCGUAGGCGGUCUGUUAAGUUCGGUGUGAAAGCCCUCGGCUUACCCGGGGAACUGCGCCGGAAACCGACAGACUCGAGUACCGGAGAGGAGGGUGGAAUUCCUGGUGUAGCGGUGAGAUGCGUAGAUAUCUGGAGGAACACCGGUGGCGAAGGCGGCAUCCUGGACCGACAUUGACGCUGAGGCGCGAAAGCGUGGGGAGCGAACCGG